CUGCCCACUUGUGGGGUAUAGCCGGCCCAACGGCCGGGUAAUCCCGCAUACGCUUCUCUGGCUGCAUGGCCGGGGGAGGAAAGCCGUAAGGCGCAAGUGGAGGGGCUCGCGGCCUAUCAGCUAGUUGGCGGGGUAACGGCCCACCAAGGCGAUGACGGGUAGCUGGUCUGAGAGGAUGGCCAGCCACAUUGGGACUGAGAUACGGCCCAGACUCCUACGGGAGGCAGCAGUGGGGAAUCUUGCGCAAUGGUCGAAAGACUGACGCGGCGACGCCGCGUGCGGGAGGAAGCCCUUCGGGGUGUAAACCGCUGUUACUCGGGACGAACCUCCCGAUUUGUCGGGAUUGACGGUACCGGGGGAGGAAGCACCGGCUAACUCUGUGCCAGCAGCCGCGGUAAUACAGAGGGUGCGAGCGUUGUCCGGAAUCACUGGGCGUAAAGGGCGCGUAGGCGGCUUUUCACGCGUGCGGUGAAAGCUCGGGGCUUAACUCCGAGUCUGCCGUGCGAACGGGGAGGCUUGAGUCUGGUAGAGGUCGAUGGAAUUCCGGGUGUAGCGGUGGAAUGCGUAGAGAUCCGGAAGAACACCGGUGGCGAAGGCGGUCGACUGGGCCAGAACUGACGCUGAGGCGCGACAGCGUGGGGAGCAAACAGGAUUA
rnacentral:rRNA from 1 species